AUAAAACCCCCCUUUCGUCAUAUUCUUAACCCUAACUAUUGUUUUUUCCUUUCAUUCGAUCUGAAUUUUACACAGAUUCAUGGAGUCAUGGCUUAGAUUCAGAUCUUAUUUCUCCUUGCGUCUCUCAUCAUUCUAUCACAAUAAUUGAUAUAUUUUGCCGAAAAUAACUGUCUUCCUCUCAGAUAUGAUGGUUUCCAUUAAAAAUUGAUAUGCGACAGCUAUUGCUCUUGUUCUCCUCACAGGUUAAAUUUUUACAUCACUCUUUUUUGAUUUUAACUUCUAAUAGUACUUCUUUCAAUUUUUGUGUGAGUUUUAUUGAUACUUGCAAGUUGCAAUUACCCAAUUUUUUUCGUUUCAAAACCCUAGGUCAUAGAUCUUGUUGAACUACUAUUUCUUUAAUUGAAACUCUAUUGGAUUCCAAAAGUUAAAAUCUUUUUUAUUAUGGUAUUAAAAACUUGACAUUGAAAUUCUUUGUUUAUUAGAGUAAAAAAAAAAAAAAUCAAAUUACUCUUAUUGGAUAAGAGUCGAAUGGUUAAUGGGGUAAAGAUUAUAUUGUGGAGCUGAAAGAAACUCCUGGAAAGAAGAGCUUGUAUCGAACUAAUGGGCAAUGCAGUUGGAUGCUAAUUAAGCACAUCUGAUCUUGACGGAGUAUAUUGGUCCUCAGUAUGAAAUAGAGUAUACUGCUCCUCAAUAUGAAAUAGAGACAUGAGCUACGGUAAUUUUACUCAAAACAUGAGAAUUAUUAAUCCAUUAUAGCUAGAAAAGUAAUGAGAUAAUUAGAAGUUCAAAAUUACAAAAUUAAGGUGUGUUCUGUAUUUGCUAUUGAUAGCACUAAAUGGUUUUAAGUAAGGUUGCUAUUAGUAUUGUGAUACCAUGUUCAAUGAGCUUUGUUUUUCUUACUAUUGUUUUAUAAAUAUUUGUUUUUUUUUAUCAAGUUCUUAAUUAUCCUUGCUGUUGAGUGGUACGAUGGUAUUGUAUUUGUAUCAUGUCUCUAUCAACUUCCGGUAUUAUUGAUUGGUAAUAUUUGUUUAUCAAGUUCUUAAUCCUUGUAGUGGAAAGUCUUAAUGCAUUUCUUGUCCCAAUGCAUUUUUACCAAAAUAAAAUGCAUAUAUACUAUAUUGCCUCCUUGCUGAAGAUUCAUUCUAUGGACAUUUUCAUGAGUAGAAAAGGAAGAUAAUGGAGGAUAUAAACCUCUUCAUAUAUGUCUAAUAUAUAAUUAUUUUUUCAACUAAGUUUGAUUUUCUUCCUCGCCUUUUUCUUAGAAUUUCAAAGGAAAGAUAGAGUCUGCAAUUUUGUUUAUCAAUUUCUCUAAAUACUUCAUCAUGCCAUCUUGCUGAUGUGAUUCUUAGAACUUAUAAAAAUUCUGGUCAUUUCUCUCUCUUAUUCCCUCUUUCUAUUUCUCUCUCUUAUUCCCUCUUUCAAUACUUUGGGCAGCUGUUCUCGGCCUUAAGGUUGACGAGAAAAUUCUGAAGAAUCCAUAUAUAAGGAAGGAGCUUGAUACUCGUUUCCCCGUUUUAUGUUUCUAUCUUUCUCUCUCAUAUUUUUAUUGAAUUUUAUUUAUGUUUUCCUAGAGUACAUAAGUUGUCUGAACUCUAAUAUUUAUGAAGGUUUGCAACAUAUCGUUGCCUUGUCUAGUAAUUCCUUUAGUUUUAAAUCUUUAGCAUCUAAAAAAGUAGAAUGAAGAAUUUGAAAACCAUACUACGUGUUUUAAGACAUAAUUUGGGAAUGCACAAGUUGAGUAAGAUUUCUUUACGAAUAUAUAUUCUGGUAUCUAAUUUGGGCAUGCACAAGAGAUACCAAGCUGAAUAUUGGUUCCUGUAUACAUGUACAGUGGUAUACUACGAUAAGGUAUAUAUUCUCCAAAGAAAGUUUAAAAGGUUAAUGGCUGUUUUUUCCUCUUUGGAUUGCUGAGCAUUUUGUCACAAUCUGAACUUUAUUUUACCCCCCUGCAAGCAGCUUAAGAAACCAUAAUUGUGGCUUUCGACUAGACGUGUAACGAGAAUGGCAAGAAGAAAAAAGAAAUCAAAACUUUAGAAUUUGGCAAAUGAUGUCUUGUCUUCUGAGUGUAUGUAUGCCUUGAUACUUUUGGUAUGAUCUUUACUCCAUAAUUAGUUAUGAAAGUUGGUUGUGAUUUUGGUUUGCUUAAAUUAUUAGGUGGAAAAUAUUUUUCAGAGAUUAUAUUCUCUGUAUAGUUAGUAAUUUUGAUUUACUAUUGUAUUAAGAUUUGCUUGUUGAUGUAUUGAUUGAUGCAUAUGCUGAAAUGUGUUUGCAGGAUCAAAAAGAUUAUAUACUAAGAAACGGUAGAAAAGGGCUGACAACUAACACUGCAAUAUUUCAAGGAUGGAAGAAAGAUAUAUCUUAGCUAUUUAAACUUUUCAAUCAGUGAUUUGUAAUUUGUUGCACUACAACUAGUCACGAAUGAAGUAUAAGUUGGAAUUAUAUCUAUUGUAAUAGAAAACUCAUUACUAUGAGAUAUUGUACAUAUGCUAUAAUAUAUUUAUAUGAAAUAAAAAAUAU